rnacentral:rRNA from 1 species
AUACGGAGGGGGUUAGCGUUGUUCGGAAUUACUGGGCGUAAAGCGUACGUAGGCGGAUUGGAAAGUAUGGGGUGAAAUCCCAGGGCUCAACCCUGGAACUGCCUCAUAAACUCCCAGUCUAGAGUUCGAGAGAGGUGAGUGGAAUUCCGAGUGUAGAGGUGAAAUUCGUAGAUAUUCGGAGGAACACCAGUGGCGAAGGCGGCUCACUGGCUCGAUACUGACGCUGAGGUACGAAAGUGUGGGGAGCAAACAGGAUUAGAUACCCUAGUAGUCC